GUGAGGAAUAUUGCGCAAUGGGGGCAACCCUGACGCAGCGAUGCCGCGUGGGUGAAGAAGGCCUUCGGGUCGUAAAGCCCUGUCAGGCGGGAAGAACGGCUCCGGGACGAACAAUUCCGGGGAUUGACGGUACCGCCGAAGGAAGCACCGGCUAACUCCGUGCCAGCAGCCGCGGUAAGACGGAGGGUGCGAGCGUUAUUCGGAUUCAUUGGGCGUAAAGGGCGUGCAGGCGGCCAGCCAAGUCGGACGUGAAAGCCCGGGGCUUAACCUCGGAAGUGCGUUCGAAACUGGUUGGCUUGAGUCCGGGAGAGGGAAGCGGAAUUCCGGGUGUAGAGGUGAAAUUCGUAGAUAUCCGGAGGAACACCGGUGGCGAAGGCGGCUUCCUGGACCGAGACUGACGCUGAGACGCGAAAGCGUGGGGAGCAAACAGGAUUAGAAACCCCAGUAGUCC
rnacentral:rRNA from 1 species